AGGUGGAAGAAGAGGGAAAGUCAUUUUCUGCUUCUUCUUUUCUUCUUCUUCUUCUUCUUCUUCUUCUUCUUCUCUCAGAUCU
rnacentral:ribozyme from 11 species